rnacentral:rRNA from 1 species
UACCAGCACCCCGAGUGGUCGGGACGUUUUAUUGGGCCUAAAGCAUCCGUAGCCGGUUCUACAAGUCUUCCGUUAAAUCCACCUGCUUAACAGAUGGGCUGCGGAAGAUACUAUGGAGCUAGGAGGCGGGGAGAGGCAAGCGGUACUCGAUGGGUAGGGGUAAAAUCCGUUGAUCCAUUGAAGACCACCAGUGGCGAAGGCGGCUUGCCAGAACGCGCUCGACGGUGAGGGAUGAAAGCUGGGGGAGCAAACCGG